AUUUCAGGCCAAUCAACUCAAGGCAAAACAACUUGAAGAAAUCAAAGAAGCUUUUCAAAUGUUCGAUAUUGACCAUGAUGGUCAAAUCACGAGUAACGAACUGAAAGCAGUAAUGAAAUCAUUGGGUCAAACACCUUCCGAACAGGAUUUGGAAGAAAUGAUCAGAGAAGUUGACACAGACGUAAAUGGCACAGAUUCUCUGUCCCCCUCAU